rnacentral:lncRNA from 1 species
AGGGGGCUGGGUCUCCAGCUUGGAGACUGGGGCUCCCCGCGAGCGGGGAACCGGAGAGAGAGCGCGGCGAGCGCGGGGCCUCGCAGCGCCGGCCGCCAACGGCCAGUGCAACGGUCCCCGCCGGGGAGGGCCGGCACUCGUCACCUGGCGGAGAAGGGAGGGAGGAGAGGUCGGGGCUAGAAGGCGGAGAAGGGUGGAGAAGGGUGGAGAAGGGCACUGUGGGCAAGGUCUACACCUUCCAAAUCACCUGAGGCACUUGUGAGAAUGAAGCUUCCUGAACUCCAACCCAGAUACUGCCUCUGGAGCCCAGAAUCUGAAGCUUAGUAACGUGCAUUUUAAAAACCACAAACUCCCCUCUGCACAUUGAAGUUUGUCAGUCUCUGCUCCACUGAAGUAGCAUGCUUAUUUUUGCCAGAGUAAGUACCAUACAUGUUCAAACAAAAAUCUUUCUUCUCACGGUUACCCUCUUCUCUUUCUCCCCGGGGACGUGCUGUGAGGGUUUCUUAAGUAGGGGAUGUUGACAAUCACCAGGUAUGUGGGAAAGGACAGAAACACGUGUUGCGAUUUGGGCAAGAGCAGAUUCCAAGAUGGGAGAGAAAAUGCUGAGAGAAACAGGCUGAGGGAAGAAUCCAAGCAGAGUGGCGAAGGGAAGGUAGGGUAAGGGAAAGAAAGGUGACUCAGCAGAUCUGCAGCAGUCUACUAAUAAUGUGCAUUAUGCCUGGAUAGCUGAUGGCUGGGGAAGAGGGGCAGGAACUAAAGCCAGCCGACUCCACACUCACCUGGCGGACUACUUAAGCCCCGCCCCCCCAGCUCGCGGACGGUUGGGGGCAGGGGCGGCGGUUGGGGGUUGGGGGGCACCCCCAGUACCAGCCCGUUCAAAUCCCUGAAGCCUAUAAUUUACAUUUCUGACAAGUCCUCUGGUGAUGUGGGUGCUGCUCAGCUGGGAACCACAUUUUGAGAAGUACAGGAUUAGAGGAAUUUUUAAGUUUUUUAAAAACCAUUGGAGUGAGGGGAAAAAAACUAAGGGGAAGACGAAAUUUUUAAAAGUAAUCAAAGUUUCCUCUUCAAGAGAUCAGAAGAGAAAAAUAAGAGAGGACAUUGAUUGGGCCAGUCUUACUGGAUUAAGAUGUUGCUUCCAGAGAAUAAUGAGGGAAGAAACCAGCAAAGUUUUACCCAGGUUGUUCUUGUCUAAACCAAAUGCCUGUGGCAGUCCUGUCCUACUUGAUCAUAUACGUGAUCCUUUAGGACGGUAUGGGUUGGUUCAAUGAGAGAAAAAGAAGAGAUCUGAGGAGGGAGCGGAAGGCAAACUGAAGACAAAGCAGAAGCGAACAUCCUGAAACCUACCCCCAACCCCCACUCCUGGGUGGGAUGCUUGUGACAUUCUUCCAGGAAUCUCCUGACUGUCUUAAAGCUAGCAGCUUGCUAGAGGGGAAAACAACCUUAACUUGACAAUGGAGAGGUCUCCCUUAUCUUGCAGGUCCUCUUUAGCAAGUGAAAGUCUUUGAAACCUCCCUUUUCCUUACUUCCCCCAAUUUCUGAGUAUAUAACCAGCACUUUUCAAGACUGAGGGCAGUAGCUCUUUCUGCCCACGGGUGGUGUUCCUGCGUUUCAAUAAACUACUGUUUUGCACAAAAGACACUCAAGAAUUUGGUUGUCAGCCCUGGACCUCACCCAACUGAACUUCACCUAUAUUCCAGAACCCCAUCAGAUGUCACUAGAAAGUUGUUUAUUAUACUAAUUUUUCCCGCCAAGAAAGCUUUGGCAGUGCUGUUCUUUCUUGUUUCCCUAUUUUCUAUUUCAUUAAUUUCUGUGCCAAUUUUUAGUCUCUGUUUUUUCUUUCUUUUUUGAUCAUGCUCUCUGUGCUUCUUUUCAUAACUGCUUUAGUUGCAUGACUAAUUUCUAUUCUUUCUUUUUUUCUAAUAUAUGCAUUCAAGUUUAUACAUUUCCCUUAAAAAGCUGCUUUAGCUGUUUGAUGUAUAGUUCUUUGGGUGUGAUUUUUG